GAAAAUCGUACCGCUUAAAUAGAACAAAUUUUGCGUUGGCAUCGGAGGUUAUGAGAACUGAAGUAGUUACGAGCAGCGCGGUACGCUUCGUCAGAAGAGGGGAGCGUCCGUUCGGCACGAACAAUACGCCCCACAAAGCGGACAGCGGCACUUUAGUCAGGAACGAAACGGUUUACAGACGACGCGCGAACGCCGUUAUCGCAACGCUCCCUCGUAUCGUCGUAUUCGCGAAUUAAAGAAACCGCGCGAACUGACCUCGGCGUCAUCGACGGAGGUCUGCGUAUCGAGUGUAGAACUGGCACUUAGGCCCCGAGUUCCUAUCCCGAAGAUGGCCGAGUCCGCACGAAGCGUGGAAAAAUGCGAGCAGAAACUGCGCUUAUGACGUCCUGAUUCGCUGCGUAAUACAAUCUUAUUUUUAACCGGCACACGAAUCAACCGGUUUCGAAGUACAUCUCAAACGUUCGAAGAAUAUCCUGAACAUCUUAAAAAAUCAAUUGAGAUUAAGAUGUACGCGAGUUUAAUAUGCGAAUAAAGGGAACCGAUUAUCUACAUU